rnacentral:rRNA from 1 species
CCUACGGGAGGCAGCAGUGGGGAAUAUUGCGCAAUGGGGGAAACCCUGACGCAGCAACGCCGCGUGAGUGAGGAAGGACUUCGGUCUGUAAAGCUCUGUUAAUGUGGAAAAAUGGUAGUUGGUCUAAUAGGCCGAUUAUUUGAUGGUACACAUAGAGGAAGCACCGGCUAACUUCGUGCCAGCAGCCGCGGUAAUACGAAGGGUGCAAGCGUUGUUCGGAUUUAUUGGGCGUAAAGCGCGCGUAGGCGGACCUGUAAGUCAGAUGUGAAAUCUCGGGGCUCAACCUCGAAACUGCGUCUGAAACUGCAGGUCUAGAAUCUCGGAGGGGGAAGGGGAAUUUCGCAUGUAGGGGUAAAAUCCGUAGAUAUGCGAAGGAACACCAGAGGCGAAGGCGCCUUCCUGGACGAGUAUUGACGCUGAGGCGCGAAAGCGUGGGGAUCAAACAGGAUUAGAUACCCUGGUAGUCCACGCUGUAAACCUAUGAACACUAGGUAUUGGAGGAUUUGACCCCUUCAGUGCCGUAGCUAACGCGUUAAGUGUUCCGCCUGGGAAGUACGGUCGCAAGACUAAAACUUCAAAUGAAUUGACGG